rnacentral:lncRNA from 1 species
UGAUCAGCCCGCCUCGGCCUACCAAAGUGCCGGGAUUUAAGGCGUGAGCCACAGCGCCCGGCCCCGAGAGUGAAUAUCUUUUAACAGUGUUUUUCCUGAUCUUUUCCAACAUCUUCAUUGUGGUUCUGUCCUUUAUUUUUUGGUUAAAUCCAGAGGUUUACUUCUGCCUGUAUCUUUCCAAACUAUUAAUCUGUUCACAAUCACUCUCCCAUUUAAACCCUUCAGCAACCCCAGUACCUUCGUAAUAAGGUCUCCUUAGCUUGGUAUCCAGAACACUUCAAUACUGGGCUUUGACCCCUGUUCUCCUUCCCCCACCUCUGUUUAGGUGCUUCACUGAGCUGCACCGAACAGCUCUUGGCCCCUUGAAAUCUCUGCAGUCUCCUUGUCUCCCUCUGCUGGAAUAUUCUUCUCUCACUUCAUCUGAUCAUUGCCUUCAAAACUCAGCUCAUUUUCUUAUUUCCUUGCCCUUUCCAUGUCCCUUGUUUUCCUCUGAUUAAAUUAAUGUUCCAAACUCAAAAGAAAAACAACUCAGCUCAGGCAUCACCUUUCCUGGAAGGCUUCCCUAGUCCUCCUGCCUCCCGCAGACUUGUCUGGCACCCUGUGCAUUUGGGAUUUGGCACACUAUGUCUCGUCUGCGGCCUCCACUGGACGAUGAGACCUGUUCUUGGGGAAGAUCCCGACUAAGCCAUUUUCCAGUGGCACCUCUUCCACCAUGAGUUCCUGAGGCAGUCCGAUGGGGCUACUUUAUUCCAGAACAAUCACAAUUUCCUUGUAAAUG